CAAUCUUUCAGCUACAGACACCAUUUAAACUUUCAAAUGUUGACACAAGUCUAAACUAUUUUAUGAAAAAAACUGCUUCUUGAUAUCUAUUGUACUUUUUUCAUAAUCACUGAUUAUGUUUCACUAGUUCUUCGCUCCGUUUCUGACUUUUACAUGAGUGUGUAUUGCGUCUGCUAGAGUGGAGAGCUCCAGGGCUAGAGUGUGGGGCAUCGCAGGAAUCUGGUUAAAAAAAGAUGGAACUUCUGUCCUUGCAGCCAAAGUAUACACUCUAGAGGCUUCAUUUCUUCAGAUUAAUGAGGGUAUGGUUGUGCUGAUUGGAUUAAUGCGUUCAUGGAAUCCCAGAGUUUUUUAGUUUUGGCGCAAGGAGUGUUUGAGUGACACAACCUCUGCCAAAAGCCCCAUAGGCUCCAAUACAAAUCUGCCGACAUAUUUCUCACAAAAAUCCACAAGGUACACGUUUUGUCAACGGCCAUAGGAGCCGUAUUUAUUACCGGACAGACAUAAAAACACAUCCACGCGUUCGGUAGAGUCUUGGGUCUCAUACAAACGUAGUAUUUUUUAGAUAGCUGUUAUAGUUUUGCGCUGGUUCCCAUUUGUUUGAGGUGUGGAUUCUGUGUAACUUGCUGCCAUGUCUCUGCGUUUUGCAGCCGCACAGGUGCGUCGUUGUCGUGGUUACGAGCACUCACACGCUGCAGGAUCUGUCUGUGGCUCACAGCUGCUCCUAUGACCUGAUUAGUGGAGUCACAUGACGCAGCUAUGCUUUCUGUCAACAGACCAAUAUGAUAAAGACACUCGCCCCCCUCCCCCCUCCACCCUGACCUCUUCUCACUGUUAAUCACUCAGUCAGUCAGUCUGUCUGUCUAUUUCUCCUCCUCUCUCUCUCCCUCUAUCUCUUCCUCGCCACCCCUCCCUUCCUCACCCUCCCUCCCUCUAUCUACACCCCCCCACCCCACCCAAUCCAAUAAUUUCAAAAAAAAAGCCCCAUGGAGGGAAUUCUUACUGUAAUGUUUUUGAUGAGGCCUAUCGAUUGAUAACGUCAUAGUUUGAAGGACACAUAAUAUAAAAUGUAUGAAUAUUAUACUGAAUUACCUGUGAGGGUGACAGAAAUAAGAUGUCAGUGUUAUUUACUGCUUUUUUAGUGCUGGAAUAAAUUAUACCCAACUGCAAGGUACUAAUGCUUUUGAUUCCCCUUAUUGUUUUUAUUAACUAAUACUUGAAUGUUUGCUGAAAUUGAUUGGAUGGUCCUAUAGGAAGUGUUCCACCAGCCAUCAUUGCUAAAGGGGAUAAGAAACCUCUACUGAAAAUAAGUCACAUACAGCAUUCAAAAUGAACAGUAACGGACAACAUUGCUACGGUUGAAUAUUUAUUGCAACAAAUAACAAUUAUAAACAAGCGUAAAAAAAACAAUUGAACAUAAGUAACAAGUCAAAACAAAAUGAACAACAAAAUGAACACAUAACUAAUACAUUAUGAACACAAUCUUAUAAACAUAUACAUUUUAUAACAGUAGAAAUUUUAAUUUUUCGCCACUUCAAUCGCCUGCACCUUGUUUCCUGUCAUUUUAAUUUGAACUUUUAUCACGGGUUCAAUCAUGACAAGUUCGAUUGGCUCCCACAAUCUCUCCUCAAUUAAGACGGUACGGCCGUCUUCCAGAAGAAGGUUGAGGUUCCCCGGAUCUCCCUCAAUCUCCAUCACCCCGAGUGCCCCCACGAUGUCCUCUGAGCGUACCUCCUUUUGAGAGAAAAGUAGACAUUAUCCCGCUGUCAGCCGCAAUCCAGAGCAAUCAUUAUCGUUUUUAAGCAGGCAAAUAAAAUAACCCCAGCACGGAGGCAUUGCAUUAUAAUUUAUUCAACUUUUUUUUUUAAAUAGCCACUUCAAAUUUAACAUAACAUCACCCAAUCAAACUUUGCUGUUGAAGCCAGAUAGUGUAAAGAUUGUCUAAAAAGUUUGUUUCAAUUUCAUAAAAAAACAAGUAGGCCUACCUCGAUGGUGGAAAAGUUUGUGGACUGGAGUCUGAGCCCAUAGUUAGACCUUCCAGCUUUAAGAUGGGAAACUUUAAUGUGGGCCCCCACCUGCAGCUGCCAUACGGCCGCCUCCCUCCAGAAACACAGCGACAUCUGUGAUUCCCCCUGUAGAAGGUAAUGUGAAAUAAUAUUUUAAUUACUUUAAUUCUCUUUCUUUCUCUCUCUCUCUCUAUAUAUAUAUAUAUAUAUAUGAGAGAGAGAGAGAGAUUAUAUAUAUAUGUGUCUGAGGACUCUUAUGAAGGCAAAUCACUGUCAAAAUAAAUCCAUAUCAAACAUUCGCGGGCAAAAGUCCAUCUCGCGCAGCAAAAGUUGGCGAAUGUUUCAUGUGUGCGCGAGCAUGGAUUUUUGCCCGCAAAUGUUUGAUAUGGAUUUGGAUUUUUGACAGUUAUUUGCCUUCAUACGAUAUAUGUAGCGUAAUUACUCAGCUAUCUAAAUUAAUAAAUACAUUUUAUUAUAUAUAUGUAUGUAUGAAUGAAGUGGACUGCCUACCUGCUGCAUCGUGACGUUCCGCAAUGGAACGACGUCUCUCCCUGUCGUGACUUCUUUUAAAGCUGACAGCUGAACAAAAUUAAUGUUUCAGUUAAUUGACAUUUUAUACCAAUUUGCAGCUAAUAUUAAACCUGUUUCCUUUUUAAACCACUGUAGGCUGAAACUUAAUUUACCUCGACCACCUCGCCCUCCACGGUUAUAAGGCCCCUGGCUUCCCGGCAGGUGCUCAGCGGAGUCAGUGGAGAGGGGGGGUGUAUUAGAAGCUCUGCUUCACGUUUGAGCGCUGCGCUGAGCGCUAUAGGAGCGCUCCUAAAGAACAGCGUGUCCUUGGUAAUGUUUAAUUGAUAUGGGGGGGACUGCCCUCUCAGAGACAGCCCCUUCACAUUAUAACUGCCACCCUCCUUAAAUCUUUUUCCAAACUCCUCGAAUACAGUGACCUUGGCCACUGAAUCCCCAUCUGUUAAUGCGGCCAGAAUAUUCAUUUUAGUCUGUGCUGGUCUCGCACCAUUUGCGUCAAACUCCCAGGCCACCACCCUGGGCUGCUCCACCACCAACACCACACAUAGGUGGAUUGGCGGGGGGCGAAAAUAGGGUGUUGGAGGCUUUGUUGUCAAAAGCGUCUUUAAUGCCAUUCUGAAAUAUUAAAAUAAACACAAAGCAUUAAGAAAAAGCUAUGUAGUAGGUUAGUACACAUUAUUUUCUAAAACGUUUCUUUUAUUUCAUAUUGUGUUGCUUCAUUAGUAUAUGGUUAUCACAAACGUAUAAGGUUAAUAUAUAUUGGAUUAAAGAGAGCAUUACGUUUGCCUAAAACGCUAAACUGCAUUAAAAAAUUGAUGACCACUAUUUGGAAAUCGCUUUUGCUAACCAAGAUAAUCUAUCCAACCGCUAGCUUAAACAUUUUAAACAACUCUAGUCACUUAAUUGUUUCUUUUGUUAAAAAGGGUUAUACUUAUAGGGUUAUACAAUAUAAAUACUCAAUUAAUGUCAGUUAUUCUUCAUAUUCUUCAUUUUCUUAUCUCAUUUAGAGAGGAACAAACUUACUUCUCUGUCAGCUUUCACAGGACUGAGGCAAAUCACCGACUUUUGCUUGCGCGAGAUGGACUUUUGCCCGCGAAAUUUUUAUAUGGAUUUUUGACAGUGAUUUUGACAGUGAUGAGUUCAAAAGCGCUCCGAUGAUGUCGGAAAUAAUGGCUGAUGACGUAAGUGUUUGCCUGAUACACCGCGUAGGAGCUUAAUGUUGCUAUUUCCAAAACUAGAUUUAACAAGGUAAUAGUGUCACAAAUUAGUCUCGUAUUAUGUACUAAAAAAUCAUUAGUGAAUUCAUAUUAUGCCUUAGGAAAACAUUACUUAAUCAACUUUUCACAUUUCAAGAAUUAACCACAUGUAUUGACCAUAUCUUGUUGUCAAUUUAUCAGCUUAAACUAUAGUAUCUCGCUGAUGAUACGAGUGCUCUUAAAGGACAACUAUAGAUUUAAUAAAAUGCAUUAUGACAGCUGAGGAAUUAAGCUUUGAGGUUUGUUUGGUACAGUUUCUAUCGAACCCGGCAUUUUGAGAGCGUAAUGUCCAAAUGUUCCUGAAUGCAUCAAUCAAAUCUAACGUCACAUCAACGCAUCUCCGUCAAAUUCCUCUGAAGUCUUGACCGGUAAGUACCGCUGAGCCGCGGGUCUAAGGGCUCAUAGUUUGGAUGGUGUAAUGACAGUUAUAUAGUUGUGAAACGGCGUUGUCGUCCGUUUGUAACCCGUGCAGUAUGUGUACACUAAUGAAAGAGUGAAAUAUUCCCUGUGUAUGUCAACGCCAAAACGUGGCUAACAAUAGCAUAGCCGCUAAGCUAGCGGCACAUUAGUAUGACAAAUAUGUAACGGUAUUAAGUUAUGUGCUGAACUGGCAUGAACUGGUUAGUUGGGUAACUAACUUGGUUAGCUAACUAACGUUUCAGUUAAUAUGGAUACAGUCUGCGCUAUAGCCUUUAUGUUAUCGUGGUUUAACGUUAAGUCACGGGUUCAUUUGUGUGCCAUAUGAGGGAAAUAUUUCGUCUAUUAGUGUCAUAGUUCAUUAUAAGGAAGGAAGCGAUUUAAAUUCAUUCGUAACGUUUAUUAAGCAAUAAGGUACAAGAGGCUGUACAUAAAGUACUGCCUCGAGUACCUCAUUGCUGAUACUAACGUCGUUCAAACCGUUACUCUUAGUGCGCAGUGAUAUGAAACAAGAACUGUACAUCGCUCAAUAAUGUGCACCACGUGACUCACGGUCAACCAAUCAGAGCGCUGCAUUAAAUCAACAGUAUUAUAACACGAGAUAAUGCUGACUUAAAGUAUGUUCAUUGACAAAUUGGUUAAAAUUGCAAGGGUUUUGUCAGUUUGUGUUGACUAGUUGGUUGGCAUUAGCUACUAGUUAGCUGGUUAGCGUUACUUUGCUCGCUGCCAAAUUAGUCCGCCAACUGAUGAAAUUGCCACGGCCUAUUUUUAGCAUUAGGCCUACGUAGAAGUUAGCAUGUGGUAACCACGGGAAUAUUUCACUCCUCCAUUCAUGUCUGAAUUAUGGAUAAGUUACAAAUCCGAUGUCAAUAGCAUUUAAAGUAGUUUGUCUUUUGAGAAACAUAAUUAACUAUGUUGGUAAUAUGGAACAGCGGUAAUCUACUUCUCUCUCUAUGUAAUAAUUUCCUAUGGUGUUUUGUUUAAAGGCUGAAAGUUUGAACCUUCUUAAUGUCAUUUUGUCAUAUUGUUUCCUCUCUUAGACAACAGAGCAUCCUCCUUAUCUGCAUUGUGUUUGACCAUAACGGCUGGUGACUCUAAAGUGCAAGUUCACACAUCAAUUCAGAUAUUGCUCCUGCCAGUGUUGGUGACUCCAUGGAUAUUUGACAGUGUCCUGCUGUCCAGCAUCUCUCCUCCUCUAUCCCAUUGGCUCUCUGUCUCUCCUAUACCUUGUAUCCACUCUGUCUACAAUUUGAUAACUCUAGCUUUCCUGUCAAAUCUACCGCUCUGUCUGAUUUUGGAAACUCUAUCUUUGUAUCCCUCUUCUAUCCCACUCUAUCUGUAUACAGAAGCCUGAAAACCCUGAUAUUCUGAAACCUGAACCCUGAACCCUGAAACCUGAACCUAAGGUUAUUGCAACCUGUCUGAACAGAACUCUGAGAGUAUCUCCACUCUCCCGCUCUCUGUCUCUCCUCUGAACACUCACUCACCCGGGUUAUUGGUACCUGAUCUACCUUUUUGAAUGAUCUGAGAGAUUCUCUUCUCUCACUCUCACCUCUCUCCUAUCAACUCCUAUAUUUAUACAAUACUAUUACUGUUUUUACUAAUUUGACAAAACAUUUGAAAUUUACUAUUAAUGAGAUUAACAAAAUUUGCCUGAACAAAGAAUUGAAAAGUUAAUUCAGAAGCUAAAAAAACAUAAAAUACAAAUCUUUUUGUUAUAAUUGAAAAAACUACACCAUGAUCCAAAGAAUUGUAUUGUAAAAAAGUACUCUUUAUAAUUGAAUCAGGUAGAUUUCCUGAUACACUAUUUGCAAAAGUGCAUUGAAUUAACAUAAUUAAAGACAACUGCACUCUGAUAUAUAAUAAAAUACAUAACUAUUACAAAUCCAUAUUAGAGAAGUGUAUUUGCUCCUGAUCGCUGUUGCUGUGCACCUGUUGGUUUGUACUCAAAGGUUUGUUUUGUGAGCAAACACUGUUGUUAACUUGAUUAGUCUACGUACAAGGAGAAAUAAUUCCGCUACAUGCAUUGUAUCAAUUAUACCUAAUUAAUGAAUACAUAAUUUUUUUCUUAUAAACUUACAUUGUGCAUAUCAGUGUUUUGUUGUUUAUACUGAAAUAAAACACAGACGUCAACCAGGAGGAAGUGGAUUCAUCAGGAGUGGCUGUUUCCUGCUGAUCCAACGUUCUUCAGAACCAUCCAUCUGUCAUCACACUCCCACAACAACUGCUCCCGAAUAUAAACAAUAGCCGAAUAAAGUAUUAAGAUAAUUUCUACCAGUAAAUUUAGCCAUCUGAAAUCUGAAGGGCCCUUUCAGUCAGCUGCUUUCACUCAACUGCUUCCAAGUUGUGUGUUUGUGGUAGACUUCAGUUUUUACAUUGAUUAUAUAUUUCCACAGAUAAGUCAAGGUCUCAGUAAGCAAUAUCUAUUACAUAUUAAAUACCAUCGGUCACUUUAGUACAUGGUACUUUAUUUACGCAGACAGACAUACUAAGACCUGAUUGCAGUAUUCAAAUCUAGAAGUGCUUUGUCUAGACCCUCAUAUAUUAGAAUACGUCAGCUGGAUAAUUUCAUUGUGUUUUUUAUAUUAAAACUAUAAAAUAAUCCUUCAGGUUGCUGUCACUGAAUUUGACGUUCAAAUAUAAUAUAUUUAUCUAUAUUGAAAAGUGUUAUUUAUUCAUGUUUUGAAAAGCGUACGCCCAAACUGAGUUAAUUUUUCAUUCAUAAGUGUUUUUGAUUUAUAGCAGCAAGCAGGUUUAAUCCAUCUUCAAAUCCUUGUUCGUUAAAAGUAAUAUUUUACUUAUUGCAUUUAAUAUCUUGGUUUUGUACAUUUGUGGUUUUGAAACAUCAACAAUGCCAAGGAAGAGUAAGAGGUCACAAGCUCAGAGCCUGCGCUGGCAGCGGCCCAAUGAGAAUCCCUUUGCAACAACGACUGAAGGAGCAGAAUGUGUUGGUCCUGAGAGCAGUGAAGAGGUAAAGAUGUCUGCAGAGUGUAAACGUGUGGAGCAGGAAGGUCAGCCUGAUGCUUCAUGUGCACCACCACCAUCUUAUGCAGAUGCUGUAAAGAGAGGACAGCACAGUGAUGAUCCAUGUGUAGCAGGACCUUCUAAUGUGCACCAGGUGAACCAGAGAUGUCAGCCUGAUGCUUCGUGCAUACCACGGGUUUCAGAUACUAUAAAGAGAGGACAAGCCAGUAAAGAACCAUGUGCAGCAGGACCUUCUAAUGCAGACCGUGUAGACCCUGGAGAUCAGCCUUCUGAACAACAUGUCCGUGCAUCCCGCAGCCAGGCUUCUAUCAGAUACGGCAGAUCCAGAAAUCGGCAGUGCACCUGUAACUCACUGACCUUUCUUGCAUUCCUCCAUGAGAAUGAAAGCAUCACCAGAGCAGACCUGGACCAUGUUUUGGAUAAAGGUAACACGAUGUAUAGAGAGACCAGGAAACAAGUCACUAAUCACAUCUAUCUGACCACCGAUGAGCUUACUGAUGAAGUUCCUGCACGCAGCGCUACACACCAUGCAGACAUGACUCAGCUUUCAAGGUACGGCACAUUAGGAGAACCUUUACCUGGAGCUGUGGACAGCUUUCUGGACCUGGAGUCAGGACUCAGCUGCUUGUUGUCAGAUGUGAAGUACGCUCUGCUGUUGAUGAGACUCUUGUGUAUCGCAGUGUUCAGAACCAAGUCGGGCAGAUACGGUUUCUUUGACCCACACUCCAGAACAGCCAGAGGUUUGCCCCUACCAGCCGGUUCACGCACACCAGGUACUGCUGUCAUGGUGACAUUCUCACGUCUCAGUGACAUGAUUGACAGGCUCAAGAAGUCCCACAGAAUGAUGGACACACAGUCCUCCUGUAACUAUGAGUUAAAGCCUGUGGAGUUCUACAAUGUGAACACAGUCAACCUGAACGGUGGUCUCCCAAACACAGACUGCAGACCUACAGCUGUCCCUGUGGAUGAAUCAAACUCACCUAUAGCCACUGAUCAGACCAGUUCACCUGAAACGACUCCUCACACUCCAGCUGUAAAUCAACCAGAGGUCCUCAUCACAACAUCAUCACAUGAUGCUCCUCACACUGAAUCAGAAUCAACCGCUCAAGUGAUAAACCCUGUUCUCAGUGAUCCAUCUGACGACAUAUUGACAGCAGAGUCCAGUGACAUCAUCUUUACAUCAUCGGUGAGACAACAAGAGGUCAUAAACUCCAAUGAACCAGAACUGUCAACUAAAUCCACUUUCCUUCCAUCACAUGAUGCUUCUCUCAAUGAACCAAGUAUUUCUUCUUCAGUAGCAAAUACUGUUGCCAGUGAUCUAUCUGAUGUUCUAUUACAGGGAAUCUCAUGCAAACUGACAAAGUGUGAUAAAAACAAAAGGAGAAAAAUGAAGAGAAGACUGAUCAUCUCAGAGAAAACUCAACAAAGACAAGAGAGUAAAAAAAGGAAAGAAAGGGAAAAGUAUGCUUCAAAUAAAGCAUUUAAAACAGAAAAAAAAUCUCAUGCAAAAAGCAAAUAUCAGAACAACCCUGAAUUUAGACAAAAGAAAAUCAAUAAUACAAGAGACAACGUUGACUUUCAACAAAAACGGAAAGAGUACAUUUCAAACAGGUACAGAGAAAAUGCUGAUUUUAGACAGAAAAAAAAACAAAUCUUUGUCUCUCGUUACAGAAAUAAUCCUGAUUUUAGAGAGAAGAAAAAACAGCACUUUACGAACCGCUACCGAGACAAUGCUGAGUUUAGAAAGGGAAAAAAACUGUCCUUCACUGCUUUUUAUAAAAACAACAUUGAUUUUAGACAAAAGAAGAGAGAAAAAGAGAGAUCUCACAUUAUUCAGCGAUACGCUCAUGACCAGGCAUUCAGGCUGAGACACAAACAACUAAUGAAACAACGAAUGAAAGACAGAUACAAAAACAAUCCUACAUAUAAGAGUAUGCGGAACAUGAGAUGUGCCAUGAAAAUAAAAAGGAAAUACAGACAGAUAAAUAAACCGAUAGAAGAAAGUGACAACAGUUUGAUCAAAGAGGCCAUAUCUGUUUUCAGGUCACAAAUAAAGUCCGGUCCCACUUAUGUUUGCACCGUCUGUCACAAAGCAUCAUUUCCAAACCAAGUGAAACCCUGUAAAAGGUUAAACUAUGUACGAAAUCCAGACGUGGCUGCAGCAUGCCUGACAGGAAAGUACGUCCAUGUGUGUGAUGAUGAGUGCAGAGAUGAACAACAGUGUAAUGUGCCUGAUGAGAGAAAGGAAGAGUGGAUCUGUCACACCUGCCACAAUCAUCUUAAAGAUGGAGUCAUGCCGACACUCGCUGUAGCCAACAACUUGGAGCUCGCUGACAUUCCACCUGAACUGUGUGACCUCAACAUAUUGGAGCGACAUCUCAUAGCCAAGUGCAUAGCGUUUGCAAAGAUUAUUCCUCUUCCCAAAGGACGCCAGAGAGCGAUACAUGGCAACGUGGUUUGUGUCCCGUCUGAGGUGCAGGAAACAGUGGAAGCGUUACCCAGACUGAGAAGUGAGUCUCAAGUGAUGAGAGUAAAGCUGAAGAGACGAUUGUGUUACAGAGGACAUCAGCUGUUCCAGACUGUCACCUGGUCUAAACUAGUGCAGGCGCUGCAUAUACUCAAACGCAUUCAUCCACAAUAUCAGGACAUCCCUAUCAGAGAUGAGGCCGAGCUUUGUGACCCAACACUUCCUGAUGAAGAUGACGAUGAUGAUGAGGA
ensembl:lncRNA